rnacentral:lncRNA from 1 species
UCAGAGCUACAGCUGCCGGCCUACGCCACAGCAACGCCAGAUCCUUAACCCCCUGAGUGAGGCCAGGGGCUGAACCCACAUCUUCACGGAUACCAAUCGGGGUGGCUGCCGCUGGGCCACAGUGGGAACUUGCGUGCAACUGUCCUUUCCCUCUGGCUGCCUCCAAGGCCUUCUCUUCCUCUUUGGUCUCAGCAACCUGACUAUGAUUUGCCUGGGAGUAGUUUUCCUUACAGUUAUCCUGCGUACAGUUUGCUAAGGUUUUUUUGACCUGUAAGUUUAUACUUUUCACAAAAUCUGGGUAAUUUUCCCAUUCUUCCAGCAUAUUUGUCCUGCUCAUUCUUGCUCCUCUCCUCCUGGAUUCCUCUGAAUUUGUACUUGAGACUCUGUCCAUGUUUUUGUGGGUUUGUUUUUGUAUUUUGUCUUUUUAUGGCCACACCCGCAGCAUAUGGAGGUUCCCAGGCUAAGGGUUGAAUUGGAGCUGUAGAUGCCGGCCUACACCACAGCCACAGCAACGUGGGAUCCGAGCUGCAUCUGUGACCUACACCACAGCUCAUGGCAACACUGAUUCUUAACCCACUGAGCGAGGCCAGGGAUCAGACCUGCAUCCUCAUGGAUGCUAGUCAGAUUCGUUUCCGUUUCCGCUGAGCCACGAUGGGAAUGCCCAUGUUUUUAUGUUUUUGUGGUUUUUUGUUUUUUUUUAAUCUUACCUAUGGCAUAUGGAAGUUCCCAGGCUAGGGUUCAAAUUGGAGCUGUAAGCUGCCAGCCUACACCACAGGCACAGCAACACCAGAUCAGAGCCACAUCUGUGACCUGCACCACAGCUUGCAGCAAUGCUGAAUCCUCAACCCACUGAACAAGGCCAGGGAUCAAACCUGCAUCCUUACAGAGACUACAUCAGGUUCUUAACCCACUGAGCCACAACAGGAACUCCCUGUCCAGGUUUUUAUUCCCCGUGUUUUUUCUGGUUUUCAGAUUGCAUGGCUCAUUGAUCAUGCCUUCCGACACCUGUUGGAAUCCACCUCCUGGUUCCUAGUCAGAUUCGUUUCUGCUCCACCACGACGGGGACUCCUACUGAAAUUUGUUUCCUGAUUUGGGGUGGGGGAGUGGAGUACAAUACAAUUUUAUAUGAUUACAUCUGACAUGUGAUAUCCUGCUUUUUUGAACACAAGCGCUCUCCCCCCACUGCUCUGAACGUGUGGCUGGGCACACACGUCCUUCCUGUUUCCCCCCGUUUGUCUAUUCCUGCCCCACACAGCAUGGAAUUGAUUAAUACAGCUUUGAGUAACAGUCUAACACGCCACAGACAGGGGCCUCGCGUUCCCUGUGCCCACCCCCACCCGCCCGCUUCCCUCCUCCUCCUUCCUCGAGGCUUGGCCGUUCUUCUCCUGGGAAUUGUUCUACAUUCUGAAUCACCUUGUCCACGUCACUUCUCCCAGACACCUGCUGGGAUGCAAGUGGGCGCACACCCAGCGCAGAGGCCGGUUUGGAGAGGAAUCCCCCCCCCCCCCAGAUUGGAUCUUCCCGCCGCGCACGUGGCCUGUUUCUCCUCCUGUUUAGGUUUUCGAUAAGGUCUUCCAGGAACGUUCACACACGUCUUUCUCAUCAUUCUCCCGUAUUUACCCUAAUUGCUAUUCUCGGAUGCUUCCCGGGCCUCAGGAUCCGCAGACGUCCUUGGCUUCUGUGGUGACAAAUUGGUCCUGCCCACCCAAGUUACGCAAGGUGAGCUGGUGGCCCGAGCUCCGCCUCAGAGUUCAUUUCACGGCCCAGGGGCCAGAAGCUGAGGCCCACGCUGGGAAGAAGACCAGGGCAACCCGUCCACACCCCGGGUCCGCAGGCGCGAGGGUGCAGAGGCAGAGGUGUCACUGACUGUUUCUAAGACGAACGCCUGGGGAUGCGGGGGAGGGCUGGGCAGGGGCUGGCGAGAGACGGGACGAAGAGGACCCCGGGCCCAGUGACGGUCCUCACACAGCCUGGGUCCUGCCCGCCGGCUCUUCAGACGAGAAAGCAAGCUGAGGAGAUGAAGAUGUCAGUAUGUGGUCUGAUCGAUUUUCUAGGAUAAAUACAAAUCAAAAAUCUUUCUCGUAACUUAAGUCUGCUUUUUUCCUCCAGAGCUCCCUCAAGUUUUUAAGGUAAUUGAUGUUGUGUGGGUUUGUUUUGUCUUUUUUUUUAGGGCCGCACCCGUGGCAUAUGGAGGUUCCCAGGCUAGGGGUCGAAUCUGAGCUAUAGCUGCCGGCCUACACCACAGCCACAGCAACACGGGAUCCGAGCCGCGUCUACGACCGACACCACAGCUCACGGCAAUGCCAGAUCCUUAACCCACUGAGCAAGGCCUGGGAUUGAACCCACAACCUCAUGGUUCCUAGUCGGAUUUGUUUCUGCUAUGCCACAGCAGGAGCUCCCCAAUUUUUUUUUUAAGUGAUUCAUGCACAUUUAAAACUUGUGGCAAUACCAAAAAGGCAUAUUAAAAAAAAAAGUUCAGCAUCCCAAAGCCCACAAUUAAGAGAGAAACAGCAUUAACGCUUGGUGAAGAUGAGUUAGACGUCUCUGGUGAAGACUCGAGCAUUUCCUCUAUUGGAUCUCGAAACACGUUUCUGCCACAUUGCGGGGUCACAGCUGAGGGCCAUAAACUGUGUGGGAUGGCGCAGGUCUAUGU